AGCAGCCGCGGUAAUUCCAGCUCCAAUAGCGUAUAUUAAAGUUGUUGCAGUUAAAAAGCUCGUAGUUGAAUUUCGGGAUCAAUUUGUUGGUCGUGCCUCGGUACGUACUGGCAUUAUUGGUUUCUACCUUCUGAAGAACCUUGAUGUCAUUAAUUUGGUGUCUUGGGGAAUCAGGACUGUUACUUUGAAAAAAUUAGAGUGUUUAAAGCAGGCAUACGCUUGAAUACAUUAGCAUGGAAUAAUGAAAUAGGACGUUUGAUUCUAUUUUGUUGGUUUCUAGGAUCGACGUAAUGAUUAAUAGGGAUAGUUGGGGGCAUUAGUAUUCAAUUGUCAGAGGUGAAAUUCUUGGAUUUAUUGAAGACUAACUACUGCGAAAGCAUUUGCCAAGGAUGUUUUCAUUAAUCAAGAACGAAAGUUAGGGGAUCGAAGACGAUCAGAUACCGUCGUAGUCUUAACCAUAAACUAUGCCGACUAGGGAUCGGAUGAUGUUAUUUUUAAUGACUCAUUCGGCGCCUUACG
rnacentral:rRNA from 1 species